rnacentral:misc_RNA from 1 species
AAGGACAAGGAGAUUAAAGACAUCGCCACAAUCUCAUCAUAAGAUCUUUCUAUGGCAUUUAAGAUUGUUGUAUACCCAUGAGAAAUUUUAUUCACUUGUAAUAUUGCGAAGAAUUGUGACGUAACCUUUGGGCAUUAUGCAUGUCUGGUCUUGUGGCCAUUGCUGAUAAUGUUGAAAGAGUACUAACUUCUGCAGACAGAACAAAAUCUGUUGAUGCCAUCUCUGAUAGAGACCGCUUGUCUAUAUCAAUCAACGGUGAAACUACCCAUGCUUCCUCUGAAGCUGCUUCCUUUAGAGUUGGGGAGCUCAGUCUUCCCAAUGGGGAAUCAUAUUCUGGGUCGUUGCUCAGCAAUGUACCUGAGGGCCAUGGGAAGUACGUGUGGUCAGAUGGUUGCAUUUAUGAGGGAGAAUGGAGACGGGGGAUGAGGCAUGGAAAUGGAAAAAUUCAAUGGCCUUCUGGAGCUGCUUAUGAGGGUGAAUUUUCAGGUGGUUAUAUGCAUGGUACGGGGACCUAUAUUGGUUCCAAUAAUUUGACCUAUAAGGGAAGAUGGCGGUUGAAUCUCAAACAUGGGUUAGGAUAUCAAGUUUAUUCUAACGGAGAUAUCUUUGAGGGCUCCUGGAUCCAAGGAACACCAGAAGGACCAGGCAAGUAUACCUGGGCUAAUGGGAAUGUUUAUCUUGGGAAUAUGAAAGGAGGUAAAAUGACAGGUAAAGGGACUCUUACAUGGAUAAACGGUGACUCGUUUGAGGGAAGCUGGUUAAAUGGUAUGAUGCAUGGAUUUGGAGUAUAUACAUGGAAUGAUGGUGGUUGCUAUGUUGGAACUUGGACACACGGUCUCAAGGAUGGCAAAGGAUCAUUUUAUCCAAAAGGAAGCCGGUUUCCAGCUGUACAAGAACGAUAUCUCAAUGCUUUAAGAAAACGAGGAUUACUGCCAGAUUUGAGAAAGCAGAACCAUGCACAUAUUCAUCAUGCUUCAUCAGUGGAUAUGGCAAAUGUCAAGAUUGGUGGGAACCAGGGAUCUCAUCGUAAUUCAUCCGAUAAACUAUCCAAGGGAAACUUACUAACUUUAGAGCAGUCUCGCAACAAGAAUGUUUCCCUGGAAAGGCGUUGGAGUCUUGAGGUAUCAAUUGAAAAAGUGAUAGGACAUGAUUCAUCAUUAGAGUUAUCAGAAUCUGCCUUAGAAGGCAUGGAGAAAGAGUUUGAAACCAAUGCAGCGCCAAUCUUGGAACGUGAAUAUAUGCAAGGUGUUCUAAUUAAUGAACUUGUAUUAAAUAAUAACUUUUCAUCAACGUCUAGAAGAGCCAAACGUCGACAAAAGAGACUGGCAAAGGAGGUUAAGAGGCCUGGUGAAACAAUCAUUAAAGGGCACAGGAGUUACGAUUUGAUGCUCAGUUUGCAGCUUGGAAUCAGGUAUACUGUUGGAAAAAUUACACCUGUACAGAGGCGAGAAGUUCGCUCAUCAGAUUUUGGUCCAAGAGCAAGCUUUUGGAUGAAUUU